CCAGUGGCAAUGACCCAGACCCGGACGACCCCCAUUGCUGAGCCAGCGGAGCUGCUUGGGUCCACGAGGCUGGUGUCAGACCUAUUGGGAGACCCUCUGCGUUAGUGAGAAAAACGGCAAGAAAUGGGAGCACGCGGAAACCUCCAAGACUAGAGCCACCAGAUGCCACCGACAGCACGCAGCUGGACCAGCACGGGGGAGGGCCUUCGUGGGUCGAGAGCUCGCUCGGGAGAUAGUUGGUGCUUUUCUUUCAGGAGAAGAAUCCCUGGCGGAGUCUGACCGUUCUCUGGCGCACAGCCCCGGGGGUGGGCACAGCAGCCGCCCCUGCUGAAGGGACUGACGCCUCCGACGACCAGCAGCCAAGUUAAACGCACUGUUCCGUGAGCAGCUUUGUUGGAGACAGCGCGGUUCACAUUCUCUUCCAACGGAGCCGCUGACUGCGGAGCUGGGAGGGGACGUGACAGAACCCAGCCAUCCAACGUCCCCCCACCCCUCCCCAGCUGGGACCUCCGGCUGCUUCCGGGCUGCGCUGGGUGGCGUCAAGGAGCCGCCCCUCUGGGCCGCGUCCCUCCCUCACGCCCUGCACACUGGCCCUGUGUGGCCGGCGGGGCGCCUAAAAGGGCGGAAGGAUGCAGGGGCGGAGGGGGCUCGGGAUUGCACGCCUAGCUCAGACCCCCCAGCCAGGACCCCUCGCGCUGUUGGACACGCCAGCCUCCCGACCCUGCGGCUCCUACGGGAGGUGACAAGGACCCUGCCAACCUGGCCUGAAUGGCCCAGUUUGAUACAGAUCAGGUUUUCAAUGAAUGAGACCGCGGUGUGGUCUAGGCGGAGGGAUGAGAGGAGGGGAUUCUGCUGGGAUAAGUGGGGGCGGGGUAAGGAGGGGAUUCUUUUCCUGGGCUGAGGAGAACGCAGGGACAAAGUACACAGGGGUAGUUGAGUGAGCAGGUGAGGCCCUAGGCUGGUUCCCCACCUUCUCAGGAUCGGAGCCACUCACUUCCUGGUACUCUCUGCAGUCUCCUGGCGUUAAAUAACAUCCCUUUGCUGGAGACUCUGGAUUCACAUCCAUAAUCGCAGCCUCCCCUACUCAUCCCCUCACGCUUCCCAUGAACUAACCUUGAAGGACCCGACCAGAGCCCUGACCUCCGUCCCACACACCUGCUACAUGGAAGGUGUUCUCCACAUCAGUUCAAGGCAGUGUCACUCUUCAGGAUGUUCAGGCUCUAAACCUUGGACUCCUCCUCCAGAUUUCUCUCUCCUUCCUUCUCCUUGUCUCUCCCUUGCACUUACGGUUCACUUUUCCUUCGUAGCUUUGUAGCUCAUUCCCCCUUCCACUUUCCACACCACCUUCUGGUCUGUUAAUUAAAUAUUACCUGGUUUCCACUGACACCUUCCCUGGGUUCCCAAUUGAAAAUCACAACAUCAUCCUCCUCCUCUGCUUUUUUUCUCCAAAUUAUAUCCUCACCCAAUUAUGUGUUAUUCUCAUUAAUCUUGCUUAAUUAAUUAGCAGACAUUAUUAAUGCCUGUUUCCCCUAUCACCACCACUAGACUAUGAACUCCUAAGGACUCCUUCCUUCCACCACUGUUGUACUCGCUUCACCUAGAACUGCUUGGCACAUACAAUGUGCUCCAUAAAUAUUUGUUGAAUGAAAGACUAGACACAACUUAGGAUUCACUCCCCCAUGUGGCAUCCAUAAGCCCUGUAUGCAGGUAAAAUGUCAGUGGGUUGACUAAAUACUGGAAGUGGAAAAAACUUCACCUCUUUGGUUUGCAGUUGUCUAGGAUAUUUAGGCCAAUGGAAAAUCCAGUUUUCCUUAGAAUUAAGCCAGUGCCGCCAGACUUGCCAGUUUACCAUGCUUGUCUGACUGGUCCUCAGCAUGGGUCAUACGUGUCCAAUGAAUUCAAACAAAAUCUUGAGAAGACACGAACCUUGCCCUUCGGCUGGGCGCGGUGGCUCACGCCUGUAAUCCCAGCACUUUGGGAGGCCGAGGCAGGCGGAUCACGAGGUCAGGAGAUCGAGACCAUCCUGGCUAACAUGGUGAAACCCCGUCUCUACUAAAAAUACAAAAAAUUAGCCGAGCGUGGUGGCGGGCGCCUGUAGUCCCAGCUACUCAGGAGGCUGAGGCAGGAGAAUGGCGUGAACCCGGGAGGCGGAGCUUGCAGUGAGUGAGCCGAGAUCGCACCCCUGCACUCCAGCCUGGGCGACAGAGCGAGACUCCGUAAAAAAACAAAAAAAAAACCUUGCCCUUCAUUCCCCAUUUCUAUCAUAAUCUACACAGAGUUUUGAACAGGCAUUUUAAAAUCAACAAUAUAUUAUUUACAAUUUUGUUAGUAUACAUAACUCUAACUCACUGUUAAAAAUCACCUGUCUUUAUAUCCAUUAAAUGACACUUGCAUAUGCUCCAA
rnacentral:lncRNA from 1 species